rnacentral:lncRNA from 13 species
GUUUAACCAAAUAUCUGGGCACCCAUGAUCAGUCAAGUUGACAUGUGAAAUUAACCAUCACAAUGAGCAAGUGCAGCUGAUUGGCUGAGUGGUCAUGAGCCUAUUCCUUCAGAAUGUGAAAGCCUGGGAAAGAGUUCAGCUGUGCCUAUAGUCAUGUUGGGGGUUUGAUGGACUGGAAUCUCCAAAACUGGCUCAUUCACAUUUUUGGUACCUUGGUGAGAAUGGCACAAAGAUUGGGCUCAGCUGGGAUACUGGAAUUGCUGGGUCGUACUCCCACUCCCCAUAUAGUCCCAGGACUACCUCUCCACGUGGUCUUCCCAGCAGGAUAGCUGACUUCUUUCAUCUGGUUCAUGUGCAAAUGGCACUUUAUUUGCCACGGCCCACAGCUCUAUGAAGGCUUUAUUAGCCCCGGUUCUCUUGGCCACCAAUGGAAGAUGCAACAGGCACACUGCUCCUAGUAGAGCUCAUGAGAAUAGCUACCAGAGGCUCAUCCUGGCACUUAGGAGGCAGCUGUUUUGCAUUCAAGAUAGAUCCCAGCAGCAGCAACCUGGGUGGCAGUGAAGGCAGGAGAGAGAGUUGGUUCUACAAUCCCGGAG